UACGGAGGGUGCAAGCGUUAUCCGGAUUCACUGGGUUUAAAAGGGUGCGUAGGUGGGCUAGUAAGUCCGUGGUGAAAUCUCCAAGCUUAACUUGGAACUGCCGUGGAUACUAUUAGUCUUGAAUAUUGUGGAGGUAAGCGGAAUAUGUCAUGUAGCGGUGAAAUGCUUAGAUAUGACAUAGAACACCGAUAGCGAAGGCAGCUUGCUACACAAUCAUUGACACUGAGGCACGAAAGCGUGGGGAUCAAACAGGAUAGAA
rnacentral:rRNA from 1 species